rnacentral:misc_RNA from 1 species
GAUGAAGAACGCAGCAAAAUGCGAUAAGUAAUGUGAAUUGCAGAAUUCAGUGAAUCAUCGAAUCUUUGAACGCACAUUGCGCCCGCCAGUAUUCUGGCGGGCAUGCCUGUCCGAGCGUCAUUUCAACCCUCGAGCCCCCCCGGGGGCUCGGCGUUGGGGAUCGGCCCCUCACCGGGCCGGCCCCGAAAUACAGUGGCGGUCUCGCCGCAGCCUCCCCUGCGCAGUAGUUUGCACACUCGCACCGGGAGCGCGGCGCGUCCACGGCCGUAAAACAACCCAAACUUCUGAAAGGUUGACCUCGGAUCAGGUAGGAAUACCCGCUGAACUUAAGCAUAUCAAUAAGCGGAGGA